GGUUAAGCGACUAAGCGUACACGGUGGAUGCCCUGGCAGUCAGAGGCGAUGAAGGACGUGCUAAUCUGCGAUAAGCGUCGGUAAGGUGAUAUGAACCGUUAUAACCGGCGAUUUCCGAAUGGGGAAACCCAGUGUGAUUCGUCACACUAUCAUUAACUGAAUCCAUAGGUUAAUGAGGCGAACCGGGGGAACUGAAACAUCUAAGUACCCCGAGGAAAAGAAAUCAACCGAGAUUCCCCCAGUAGCGGCGAGCGAACGGGGAGCAGCCCAGAGCCUGAAUCAGUGUGUGUGUUAGUGGAAGCGUCUGGAAAGGCGCGCGAUACAGGGUGACAGCCCCGUACACAAAAAUGCACAUGCUGUGAGCUCGAUGAGUAGGGCGGGACACGUGGUAUCCUGUCUGAAUAUGGGGGGACCAUCCUCCAAGGCUAAAUACUCCUGACUGACCGAUAGUGAACCAGUACCGUGAGGGAAAGGCGAAAAGAACCCCGGCGAGGGGAGUGAAAAAGAACCUGAAACCGUGUACGUACAAGCAGUGGGAGCACGCUUAGGCGUGUGACUGCGUACCUUUUGUAUAAUGGGUCAGCGACUUAUAUUCUGUAGCAAGGUUAACCGAAUAGGGGAGCCGAAGGGAAACCGAGUCUUAACUGGGCGUUAAGUUGCAGGGUAUAGACCCGAAACCCGGUGAUCUAGCCAUGGGCAGGUUGAAGGUUGGGUAACACUAACUGGAGGACCGAACCGACUAAUGUUGAAAAAUUAGCGGAUGACUUGUGGCUGGGGGUGAAAGGCCAAUCAAACCGGGAGAUAGCUGGUUCUCCCCGAAAGCUAUUUAGGUAGCGCCUCGUGAAUUCAUCUCCGGGGGUAGAGCACUGUUUCGGCAAGGGGGUCAUCCCGACUUACCAACCCGAUGCAAACUGCGAAUACCGGAGAAUGUUAUCACGGGAGACACACGGCGGGUGCUAACGUCCGUCGUGAAGAGGGAAACAACCCAGACCGCCAGCUAAGGUCCCAAAGUCAUGGUUAAGUGGGAAACGAUGUGGGAAGGCCCAGACAGCCAGGAUGUUGGCUUAGAAGCAGCCAUCAUUUAAAGAAAGCGUAAUAGCUCACUGGUCGAGUCGGCCUGCGCGGAAGAUGUAACGGGGCUAAACCAUGCACCGAAGCUGCGGCAGCGACGCUGAUGCGUUGUUGGGUAGGGGAGCGUUCUGUAAGCCUGCGAAGGUGUGCUGUGAGGCAUGCUGGAGGUAUCAGAAGUGCGAAUGCUGACAUAAGUAACGAUAAAGCGGGUGAAAAGCCCGCUCGCCGGAAGACCAAGGGUUCCUGUCCAACGUUAAUCGGGGCAGGGUGAGUCGACCCCUAAGGCGAGGCCGAAAGGCGUAGUCGAUGGGAAACAGGUUAAUAUUCCUGUACUUGGUGUUACUGCGAAGGGGGGACGGAGAAGGCUAUGUUGGCCGGGCGACGGUUGUCCCGGUUUAAGCGUGUAGGCUGGUUUUCCAGGCAAAUCCGGAAAAUCAAGGCUGAGGCGUGAUGACGAGGCACUACGGUGCUGAAGCAACAAAUGCCCUGCUUCCAGGAAAAGCCUCUAAGCAUCAGGUAACAUCAAAUCGUACCCCAAACCGACACAGGUGGUCAGGUAGAGAAUACCAAGGCGCUUGAGAGAACUCGGGUGAAGGAACUAGGCAAAAUGGUGCCGUAACUUCGGGAGAAGGCACGCUGAUAUGUAGGUGAAGUCCCUCGCGGAUGGAGCUGAAAUCAGUCGAAGAUACCAGCUGGCUGCAACUGUUUAUUAAAAACACAGCACUGUGCAAACACGAAAGUGGACGUAUACGGUGUGACGCCUGCCCGGUGCCGGAAGGUUAAUUGAUGGGGUCAGCGCAAGCGAAGCUCUUGAUCGAAGCCCCGGUAAACGGCGGCCGUAACUAUAACGGUCCUAAGGUAGCGAAAUUCCUUGUCGGGUAAGUUCCGACCUGCACGAAUGGCGUAAUGAUGGCCAGGCUGUCUCCACCCGAGACUCAGUGAAAUUGAACUCGCUGUGAAGAUGCAGUGUACCCGCGGCAAGACGGAAAGACCCCGUGAACCUUUACUAUAGCUUGACACUGAACAUUGAGCCUUGAUGUGUAGGAUAGGUGGGAGGCUUUGAAGUGUGGACGCCAGUCUGCAUGGAGCCGACCUUGAAAUACCACCCUUUAAUGUUUGAUGUUCUAACGUUGACCCGUAAUCCGGGUUGCGGACAGUGUCUGGUGGGUAGUUUGACUGGGGCGGUCUCCUCCUAAAGAGUAACGGAGGAGCACGAAGGUUGGCUAAUCCUGGUCGGACAUCAGGAGGUUAGUGCAAUGGCAUAAGCCAGCUUGACUGCGAGCGUGACGGCGCGAGCAGGUGCGAAAGCAGGUCAUAGUGAUCCGGUGGUUCUGAAUGGAAGGGCCAUCGCUCAACGGAUAAAAGGUACUCCGGGGAUAACAGGCUGAUACCGCCCAAGAGUUCAUAUCGACGGCGGUGUUUGGCACCUCGAUGUCGGCUCAUCACAUCCUGGGGCUGAAGUAGGUCCCAAGGGUAUGGCUGUUCGCCAUUUAAAGUGGUACGCGAGCUGGGUUUAGAACGUCGUGAGACAGUUCGGUCCCUAUCUGCCGUGGGCGCUGGAGAACUGAGGGGGGCUGCUCCUAGUACGAGAGGACCGGAGUGGACGCAUCACUGGUGUUCGGGUUGUCAUGCCAAUGGCACUGCCCGGUAGCUAAAUGCGGAAGAGAUAAGUGCUGAAAGCAUCUAAGCACGAAACUUGCCCCGAGAUGAGUUCUCCCUGACUCCUUGAGAGUCCUGAAGGAACGUUGAAGACGACGACGUUGAUAGGCCGGGUGUGUAAGCGCAGCGAUGCGUUGAGCUAACCGGUACUAAUGAACCGUGAGGCUUAACCUU
rnacentral:rRNA from 1 species